CGUUAAGUAGACCGCCUGGGGAGUACGGCCGCAAGGUUAAAACUCAAAUGAAUUGACGGGGGCCCGCACAAGCGGUGGAGCAUGUGGUUUAAUUCGAUGCAACGCGAAGAACCUUACCUGGUCUUGACAUCCACAGAAGAAUCCAGAGAUGGAUUUGUGCCUUCGGGAACUGUGAGACAGGUGCUGCAUGGCUGUCGUCAGCUCGUGUUGUGAAAUGUUGGGUUAAGUCCCGCAACGAGCGCAACCCUUAUCCUUUGUUGCCAGCGGUUAGGCCGGGAACUCAAAGGAGACUGCCAGUGAUAAACUGGAGGAAGGUGGGGAUGACGUCAAGUCAUCAUGGCCCUUACGACCAGGGCUACACACGUGCUACAAUGGCGCAUACAAAGAGAAGCGACCUCGCGAGAGCAAGCGGACCUCAUAAAGUGCGUCGUAGUCCGGAUUGGAGUCUGCAACUCGACUCCAUGAAGUCGGAAUCGCUAGUAAUCGUGGAUCAGAAUGCCACGGUGAAUACGUUCCCGGGCCUUGUACACACCGCCCGUCACACCAUGGGAGUGGGUUGCAAAAGAAGUAGGUAGCUUAACCUUCGGGAGGGCGCUUACCACUUUGUGAUUCAUGACUGGGGUGAAGUCGUAACAAGGUAACCGUAGGGGAACCUGCGGUUGGAUC
rnacentral:rRNA from 1 species